AUGAUGAAGACAAGUUGGUCGUUUAAGAAAAUGAGCAAGGAACAAUUGCGACCGUGGAAAUUCUCUAAUGUGUUUCAAUGGAAACGACUUCAUCUACGAACGGCGAUCAUGGACACUGUUGUUUAUAAGAUAAUUUAUGUUGUAGAAGGUGUUGUAAUCGUUUCUUCGUUUUGCUUCUUCUAUGUUUUCUGUGGCUUUUGA